rnacentral:rRNA from 1 species
UACAGAGGUCCCAAGCGUUGUUCGGAAUUACUGGGCGUAAAGGGCGCGUAGGCGGUCCUGUAAGUCCUGUGUGAAAUCCCCCGGCUCAACUGGGGAAUUGCACGGGAAACUGCGGGGCUUGAGUUCGGGAGAGGGAAGCGGAAUUCCGGGUGUAGCGGUGAAAUGCGUAGAUAUCCGGAGGAACACCGGUGGCGAAGGCGGCUUCCUGGGACCGACACUGACGCUGGAGGCGCGAAAGCUAGGGGAGCAAACGGG